UAAAGCAGCCGAGUAAAAUAAAAUAGUACCUUCACUAAAAUUAAUACAUAGUUCUAGAAAAACUUGCACCAUGUUUGGUUGAGUGUAAUGGUUUCCGUAGGUCCCACUUAAUCCUAUGUUUGGUCCGGUGUAAUGCCCUAAUACAGGCCUAUUACGUUAUGGACGUAUUUCUAAAAUUCUCUGCUUCAAGGCCGAUUUGUAUUCCCUUCCAAAAGCAAGGAUUAGCUAUUCAGUCUCUAUUUUACCCUCCCAAGCUGAAAUCAACCUCCACCCUCUCCCUCCCAACAUCAACAGAAGCUACCAGCGAACCAAACUUCCACCCGCUCCCGUUUCACUUUCAUCUUGGCAUCUUUCGCUGACUCCACCGUCUCAGAUCUCCGGCCCAAUUGAAGCUGCAAUUUAUUGUAGCUUCUAUUUUUUCCUGUAAGGGAAGUGUGGUUGUAGUGGCUUCUCAAAUAUAUAGGCCUAUUGAAAAAGUCUCAGGGCCAUUAAUUAUUGAUUGGGUGAUUGGUCAGCAUACUCAUAUACUGAAAUGGACAAGAAGAGCAUUGGAACUUGAGGAUUGGGAGUCGUUGUCAUUUCAUCAAAGGAAGGUAGCAUCGAUAGUUGAAGUUUUUAGGAUAUUGGAGGAGUUAUUGAUUUUGCUUUUACAUCUACUCCUGUUUGUGCAAAGUACUGUGUGAAGCGUAUAUGUUGGUGCUUUUAAUCAAAUAAGUUGGUUCUUUCACAUGCCAUAUUCAAUAUCUUGAAUGGGAGUCUUCAAAUGGUAUGGGAGACUACUUUGGGGAAAUAUAUGAAGAUUUAAGACAAAAAUUCAAUUGUGAUGUCGUAGUUGAUGCACGGCUUUCCUCUACAUAACGGACUUUCAAAGUUAAACUAUUUUAUCUAGUUUUUAUUUGGAGACCAUGAAUGGGAGUCUUCAAAUGGUAUGAGAGACUGCUUUGGGGAAAUAUAUGAAGAUUUAAGACAAAAAUUCAAUUGUGAUGUCGUAGUUGAUGCACGGCUUUCCUCUACAUAACGGACUUUCAAAGUUAAACUAUUUUAUCUAGUUUUCAUUUGGAGACCAUGAUAUCUUUUUAAAAUUAUUUCAAAAUAUCUUUAUACAAUGUAAUUUUAAAGAUAACUUAUUAUUGUUAUUUAAAUA